UACGGGGGGGGCAAGCGUUGUUCGGAAUUACGGGGCGUAAAGGGCUCGUAGGCGGCCAACUAAGUCGGACGUGAAAUCCCUCAGCUUAACUGGGGAACUGCGUCUGAUACUGGAUGGCUUGGAUUCGGGAGAGGGAUGCGGAAUUCCAGGUGUAGCGGUGAAAUGCGUAGAUAUCAGGAGGAACACCGGUGGCGAAGGCGGUUCUCUGGGCAUGUCCUGACGCUGAGGAGCGAAAGUGUGGGGAGCGAACAGG
rnacentral:rRNA from 1 species